rnacentral:misc_RNA from 1 species
GCAAACUUGGUCAUUUAGAGGAAGUAAAAGUCGUAACAAGGUCUCCGUUGGUGAACCAGCGGAGGGAUCAUUACCGAGUUUACAACUCCCAAACCCAUGUGAACAUACCAUUAAACGUUGCCUCGGCGGGACCCGAUCGCCCCGUAACACGGGCCGGCCCGCCAGAGGACCCCUAAACUCUUGUAUUAUUUGGUUUCUUCUGAGUAAACAAGCAAAAUAAAUCAAAACUUUCAACAACGGAUCUCUUGGUUCUGGCAUCGAUGAAGAACGCAGC